CAAAAACAUUGCUGGCAGAAAGAAAAGAAAUAUCUUGAAUACCAGUACUCAAAUCUCCUUGCAGAAGUUCACUCAAGAGCACAGGAAUGUGAAGAAAUGGCACAGAAAAGCAGGCAAAAGGUGUAUUGCCUUGAACAAAUCUGUGAGAAACUGGUGCAGGAGAACAAUUCUAUGAGAAAUGCAUUAUCACAUGCUCACAAGGAGCACUCAUCUCUGCUGGCAGCCUGUGCUCUGCUGUCAGGGGCCCUGUGUCCUCUCUACAGCUGACUGUGUGCUGUGUCUUCCCAAAGAGACAUUCUCCAGGACCAGGCAAACUUCCACAGAUUAGUGAACCAGAGGAUCAGGAGCCUCCUUUAUGCUCUCCCUGCUAACAUGGGAAGAAAUCAGGACGAAGAAAGGCUGAGGCAGAGAAGAGCCAAACAGCUGAUUUACGUGUUCAGAAGAGCCGUGAUUGCAGUUCUGGCCACCAACAGGCUGAGAGCUCUGGCCCGAUAUUCUUACUCCCUCUUCGUCCGGACAGAUGGCUCCAGAGGAAGCUCUAGAAUUCAAGUUUGUGCGGGAGAAUCCAAAGGCAGGCAUCAUGAGUCACGUUUUGAAGAGGAAGGAGUUGACUGUAUUGAAGCACUUGACUGGUUGACUAGCUCUAACCUCCAUACUGCAAUAAUCAGUUCCUUCUCUGAACUGCAGGAUGUUCUCAGCAAACCAGGUAAUUGUAGCAGAAAUACAUUUAAAAUGUAAAUAAGUCAGGGUGGUCACAUAAUUUCCAUUUUUA
rnacentral:lncRNA from 12 species